UCCAUUUACCAAGGAACAUCUGAUUAGUAAUUUCCUUCCAGAACUCUCCUGGAGCUAGCACUCAAACAUUCCAUCACAUAUAUACAGUCUCCAAGUGUAAAUUAAUUCUUUUGACUACUGUAUUAUGCUAAAUUUUCUGUAGCUUCAUAAUGGACCAAUAUCUACUCACUUCAUAAGAAGUGAAGUGGUUGUAGUAACCACUCUGGUUGUGCUAAUAAAAUCUUGUGCCAGGAAUGCAAAUCUAAGGCACUUCAUUUUAACUGCCUAAUCAACCUCCAGAGCUGGUGCCUCUGAAAGGUAAACCUAUAUCCCUUCUCUAACCCUUAAUAUCAACUGUAUUCAAACUGCACAUAAUAUAUUAUUUUGUGUUUUGUACUUCCAGGGUUAUUAACCAAAUAGAGAUGAUUAUAAUAUUAUGGCAUGCAAAAUAUAUUUUCAUUAUAAAGCUAGAGGUAGGAAUUUUUUUUUAAAUCUUAAAAUAUAGAAGACCUAUGCUGUUAAAAAAUCAACAAAAUAAUUUUUAGAAAUCUUUUUCUGAUAUUCUUAACAGGAUGGAUCUUCUGUAUUUCAACUAUGAUUGACAGUUUUCCUAUUUUUUUUCUUCAUAUGGCUUAAGAAAUAUGAUAUCAAGCUAAUACAUUAGUUAGGAGUCACUAAGUUUUGAAUGAAGAGAAGUUAAGUUGCAUUAAAUUCAAAUUAGUUUUUAAUUUAAUUUAUUAACUUAAAUUAAUUACAACUAAAUCUUUAAUUCUGAAAUUAGAUCAUUUGCCCAAUGCACAUAUGCAUGCUUUGGAUAACUUUAGGACAAGAAAAAACAUUACGGAAACUUCAAGAAAGGAUGUUUUUCAUUUGCUCAUCAGGAAAUGUCCAUAUAUGUACAAGAUGUAUUACUUUUCUUUAGAAAGCAUCGCCACUUGAAAUUACAGAAAUCACUGAUUCUUCUGGCUGUCCAACACACAGGUGUAUGCUGUUUAAUUUAUCCACCUUAAAGGCAUUUACAAUUCUUUUAGACUAUUUAUUUAGCUUAUCAAAACAAGUUAUUCAAUAGCCUACAAGAUUGAUUAAUAUGUUUUAAACAUACUUUUAAAAGGAAACUUUUAACUACAUCCUAUAGAAAACCAAGAAGCAUUUGAAACAUUAUAAGUGCUUCCCUUUCUGACAUUCAGAACUGUAUCCCUUUUUAGGAAUUAUACGAAGGCUCACAGUUUCUUCUGUUUUUCUCCCAAUUAACCUCUUCUUUCCUUAAAAAUGCCCACUAACUCCCAUUGUGACACAUGAGAGUGGUUUUUGACCCUGAAAGAAACAAAUCUAUACAUGUUUUAAUAAUUCAAGAUAUUUGUGAAGAUGUUUAAAGAUGUGGAUUAAUAUCCAUAUCUGGAUAACGACUGUGGCUAUUUUUACUUGACACAGAAUAAUUUCACCAUUAUUUCUAACAUAAAAAAUAUUUAUUU